GAUGAACGCUGGCGGCGUGCCUAAUACAUGCAAGUAGAACGCACAGAUUAUACUGUCGCUUGCUACACCAUAGACUGUGAGUUGCGAACGGGUGAGUAACGCGUAGGUAACCUGCCUGGUAGCGGGGGAUAACUAUUGGAAACGAUAGCUAAUACCGCAUAAUAUUGAUUAUUGCAUGAUAAUUGAUUGAAAGAUGCUAUUUCAUCACUACUAGAUGGACCUGCGGUGUAUUAGCUAGGAGGUGAGGUAACGGCUCAUCUAGGCGACGAUACAUAGCCGAGCUGGUGUGGUGAACGACCAAACUGGGACUGGGAGAAGGCUCCAAAUCCUGCGGGGGGCGACAAUAGGGUAACUUAGGCAAAGGGCGGAAAUCUUACCGAAGAACGCCCGGUGAGUGAAGGAAGGUUUCGGGUCGUAAAGCUCUGUUUUGAGGGAAGGAAGGGUAUGAGAGUGGAAAGUUCACACUUUGACGGUAUCUUACCAGAAAGGGACGGCUAACUACGUG
rnacentral:rRNA from 1 species